GAUGAACGCUGGCGGCGUGCUUAACACAUGCAAGUCGAACGAAGCACUUUAUUUGAUUUCCUUCGGGACUGAUUAUUUUGUGACUGAGUGGCGGACGGGUGAGUAACGCGUGGGUAACCUGCCUUGUACAGGGGGAUAACAGUUGGAAACGGCUGCUAAUACCGCAUAAGCGCACGGCAUCGCAUGAUGCAUUGUGAAAAACUCCGGUGGUAUAAGAUGGACCCGCGUUGGAUUAGCUAGUUGGUGAGGUAACGGCCCACCAAGGCGACGAUCCAUAGCCGACCUGAGAGGGUGACCGGCCACAGUGGGACUGAGACACGGCCCAAACUCCUACGGGAGGCAGCAGUGGGGAAUAUUGCACAAUGGGCGAAAGCCUGAUGCAGCGACGCCGCGUGAGCGAAGAAGUAUUUCGGUAUGUAAAGCUCUAUCAGCAGGGAAGAUAAUGACGGUACCUGACUAAGAAGCACCGGCUAAAUACGUG
rnacentral:rRNA from 1 species